rnacentral:rRNA from 1 species
UCAGGACGAACGCUGGCGGCGUGCUUAACACAUGCAAGUCGAACGGAAAGGCCCUUUCGGGGGUACUCGAGUGGCGAACGGGUGAGUAACACGUGGGUGAUCUGCCCUGCACUCUGGGAUAAGCCUGGGAAACUGGGUCUAAUACCGGAUAUGACUACGGCCUGCAUGGGUUGUGGUGGAAAGCUUUUGCGGUGUGGGAUGGGCCCGCGGCCUAUCAGCUUGUUGGUGGGGUUAUGGCCUACCAAGGCGACGACGGGUAGCCGGCCUGAGAGGGUGACCGGCCACACUGGGACUGAGAUACGGCCCAGACUCCUACGGGAGGCAGCAGUGGGGAAUAUUGCACAAUGGGCGCAAGCCUGAUGCAGCGACGCCGCGUGAGGGAUGACGGCCUUCGGGUUGUAAACCUCUUUCAGCAGGGACGAAGCGCAAGUGACGGUACCUGCAGAAGAAGGACCGGCCAACUACGUGCCAGCAGCCGCGGUAAUACGUAGGGUCCGAGCGUUGUCCGGAAUUACUGGGCGUAAAGAGCUCGUAGGUGGUUUGUCGCGUUGUUCGUGAAAACUCACAGCUCAACUGUGGGCGUGCGGGCGAUACGGGCAGACUGGAGUACUGCAGGGGAGACUGGAAUUCCUGGUGUAGCGGUGGAAUGCGCAGAUAUCAGGAGGAACCCCGGUGGCGAAGGCGGGUCUCUGGG